UGGGGCGUGUCGGUCCGCCAGAACACCGAUCAUAUCGGUGCAUCGUCCGAUACGGUUACCGUGAUGUUCAUCAGGACAUUGACUCUUUCGAAGAUGAGCUCAUCAACAGCCUAGCAUACUUCAUAAGGCUCGAUGCGUCUGACAGAACUUCGCAGUCUAGCGACUCGCCAUGCAGGAGUGAAUCCGAACUCACUAUUGUUCAGAGUUUCAGACAUUCUACUUGUUGUGAGAUAGAUGAUGCUAGCCGAGCGAUGAAUGUACCGCUGGAGUCCUCGAGCGUGGUAGAGAUGGAACCAAAAGGUCCAACAAAGAGAGUGAGGUUCUUCAUCGAGGAUAACGAUAAUUCAGAAUCGG
rnacentral:misc_RNA from 1 species